CUCUCCUCUCUCCCUUCCUAGAGAUCUCUCCCACCUCUCUCUUCCUGUCGAUAUCUUCAUGAACAUCAGGUGGUGCUAGUAUUUGGUGAGACUGGUUGCAGGAAAACAACUCAGGAAUUAUGUCGUAUGUAGGGCCUUCUAGUUCUGCCCUAGGAAGCACCACAAAGAUAAAAGUUUCAAUCAAUCCAAUUGGAGAAAUUACUAGAGAUAACAAAAAUCAAUUCACCUCAUUUCUAGGAAAUGUGAUCAGGACUCAUUAUCCAAUUGCAUACAAAGACUGGCGGCUUGUGCCAGAUACCAUCAAGGAUAAUGUUUGGUCAACUA